rnacentral:tRNA from 1 species
GGCUCGUUGGUCUAGAGGCAUGAUUCUCGCUCAGAGGUCCCGGGUUCAAAUCCCGGACGAGCCC